CCUACGGGAGGCAGCAGUGGGGAAUCUUCCGCAAUGGGCGAAAGCCUGACGGAGCAACGCCGCGUGAUCGAAUGAAGGCCUUCGGGUUGUAAAGAUCUGUUGACAGGGACGAAUAAGCAAUGCGAAUAGUGUUUUGUAUGACGGUACCUGUUUAGAAAGCUCCGGCUAACUACGUGCCAGCAGCCGCGGUAAUACGUAGGGAGCAAGCGUUGUCCGGAAUUACUGGGCGUAAAGGGCGCGUAGGUGGGCGCUUAAGUCAGGUGUGAAAACUCCGGGCUCAACCUGGAGACUGCACUUGAAACUGGGUGUCUUGAGUGCAGGAGAGGAAAGUGGAAUUCCUAGUGUAGCGGUGAAAUGCAUAGAUAUCACACAGAACACCGAUUGCGAAGGCAUCUCACGAAUCCGCGAUUGACGCUGAUGCACGAAAGCGUGGGUAUCAAACAGGAUUAGAUACCCGAGUAGUC
rnacentral:rRNA from 1 species